GAUGAACGCUGGCGGCGUGCCUAAUACAUGCAAGUCGAGCGAACGGACGAGAAGCUUGCUUUUCUGAUGUUAGCGGCGGACGGGUGAGUAACACGUGGAUAACCUACCUAUAAGACUGGGAUAACUUCGGGAAACCGGAGCUAAUACCGGAUAAUAUUUUGAACCGCAUGGUUCAAAAGUGAAAGACGGUCUUGCUGUCACUUAUAGAUGGAUCCGCGCUGCAUUAGCUAGUUGGUAAGGUAACGGCUUACCAAGGCAACGAUGCAUAGCCGACCUGAGAGGGUGAUCGGCCACACUGGAACUGAGACACGGUCCAGACUCCUACGGGAGGCAGCAGUAGGGAAUCUUCCGCAAUGGGCGAAAGCCUGACGGAGCAACGCCGCGUGAGUGAUGAAGGUCUUCGGAUCGUAAAACUCUGUUAUUAGGGAAGAACAUAUGUGUAAGUAACUGUGCACAUCUUGACGGUACCUAAUCAGAGAGCCACGGCUAACUACGUG
rnacentral:rRNA from 1 species